GUGAGGAAUAUUGGUCAAUGGGCGGGAGCCUGAACCAGCCAAGUCGCGUGAAGGAAGAAGGAUCUAUGGUUCGUAAACUUCUUUUGCAGGGGAAUAAAGUGCAGGACGUGUCCUGUUUUGUAUGUACCCUGAGAAUAAGGAUCGGCUAACUCCGUGCCAGCAGCCGCGGUAAUACGGAGGAUCCGAGCGUUAUCCGGAUUUAUUGGGUUUAAAGGGUGCGUAGGUGGAUUGAUAAGUCAGCGGUGAAAGUUUGCAGCUUAACUGUAAAAAUGCCGUUGAAACUGUCGGACUUGAGUGUAAAUGAGGUAGGCGGAAUGCGUGGUGUAGCGGUGAAAUGCAUAGAUAUCACGCAGAACUCCGAUUGCGAAGGCAGCUUACUAAGCUACAACUGACACUGAAGCACGAAAGCGUGGGGAUCAAACAGGAUUAGAAACCCUUGUAGUCC
rnacentral:rRNA from 1 species